rnacentral:rRNA from 1 species
ACCAGACUCCUACGGGAGGCAGCAGUGGGGGAUAUUGCACAAUGGGGGGAACCCUGAUGCAGCGACGCCGCGUGGGUGAAGAAGCGCCUCGGCGCGUAAAGCCCUGUCAGCAGGGAAGAAAAUGACGGUACCUGAAGAAGAAGCCCCGGCUAACUACGUGCCAGCAGCCGCGGUAAUACGUAGGGGGCAAGCGUUAUCCGGAUUUACUGGGUGUAAAGGGGGCGCAGACGGCGAUGCAAGCCAGGAGUGAAAGCCCGGGGCCCAACCCCGGGACUGCUCUUGGAACUGCGCGGCUGGAGUGCAGGAGGGGCAGGCGGAAUUCCUGGUGUAGCGGUGAAAUGCGUAGAUAUUAGGAGGAACACCAGUGGCGAAGGCGGCCUGCUGGACGAUGACUGACGCUGAGGCUCGAAAGCGUGGGGAGCAAACAGGAUUAGAUACCCUCGUAG